GGUCCUAUGGUGUAAUGGGCAGCAUUUCGGUACAUUUGGCUCAGGAGAGGCCUUGCGAGGGCCCCUGAGACAAAUGCUGAAGGUCCCAGUUCAAUCCUGGGUGGGGUCU